GGGUGAUCGGCCACAUUGGAACUGAGACACGGUCCAAUAUCCUACGGGAGGCAGCAGUGGGGAAAAUUGCACAAUGGGAGAAAGCCUGAUGCAGAAACGCCGCGGGAGGGAUGAAGGCCUUCGGGUCGUAAAACGCUGUCCUCAAGGAAGAUAAUGACGGUACUUGAGGAGGAAGCCCCGGCUAACUACGUGCCAGCAGCCGCGGUAAUACGUAGGGGGCUAGCGUUAUCCG
rnacentral:rRNA from 1 species